AGAAAGUGAGGGGAGAGAGACAGAGAGAGACAGAGAGGGAUAGACGGAGAGAGAGAAAGAGAGAGACAGAGAGUUUUGGGAGGUCUGCUAGCUUGUUUUGGAGUCUAUUAUUUGUUUGAAUAGGAUGAAUGAUGACGAUGUUAAUAUGAAAUUUGGACGACUGAGCGCUCUGUCUGAUUUUGGUCUCUCUCUCUCUCUCUCUCUCUCUCUCUCUCUCUUUCUCUAUUUUU
rnacentral:miRNA from 1 species